rnacentral:lncRNA from 1 species
GUCAGCCACCCUGCGAGUACGCGGUUCGCACCCGGCCGCGCGGCAGCCCGUGCUUGCGCACUGCUCUGUGCCCGCGCCUAUGUCCAGCAGGGGGCGCGCAGCGGCGGUAGCCGAGCGAGGGCGCGGUGGCCUCUGACAGGAAUGACUCUGCGCACGUGCGUUUCGCAGCAGUGGAAGUCUUCACACCCGGAAACUCGACUUUGGCCGUUUCUCCAUUUCUCCUCACGCACUGUCUUUCCUUGGGCCCUCGUCACUCCUGGCACCGGGGGAAGGGCUUCCCCGCCUCUGGCCGGGCGCUGGGGCGCGACCGAAGGCGAGGCGGCGGCGAGGAACCUUCUGGAAUUCGGCCGUCGGGGCAGGCGUCGAGUUUACAGGAGAAGGCGCGGUGUCCCGGGAUGAGCGGAGUCGCCCUCACUUAAGGAGCGAGGGAGGCCUCGGGGGUCCCCAGCCGGUGAUGAGCCCUCCUCUUCAGCUAGGAAAAUGACGGUGUUCAGAAAGUUAAAACUUCUUCGCUGGAAGGAUUUCAUCUUAAAGUUGGGAGACUGGAAGAAAUUAAAGUGUUCUAAAUGGAAGAGCAUUCACCACAUGUGUUCUGUUUUGGGUUGACAUUUAGCUUUUGUUUUUAUUUUAGAAACGGAAGACUCUGGUAGCAGUCCUUGAAAUCUUGAUGCCAUUGCUAUUUUCUGCAUUGUAUUGUAUCUUCGUUUUAGUAGUGCUCCAAUAAAAAGACCUGCUACUAGCUGCCAUGCAAUUGAUAUCAGUUUGUUGCCAGACUUCUACAAUUUUCCUGAAAAAUAGAUUUCAACUAGUUUAUAUCCCUUCUAUAAGUGAAACAUUGAAGGCUGUCACCGAAAUGGUGGAACAGAUCUUUGAUGUUGAGUUUGAAGGUUAGAUGUAAAUAUGGGUAAGGAUCGGGAGGACAUUUUUAUAAAGUACAGUUUGAAGUUUUUCCCCGAGAGUUCUUACAGUAGUGAUUCUAAAUCUAGUGUCUCCAAAUUCUAAAGAGCCUAUGAGGUGGUAGUUGGGGGGAAGCUGUCCAUGAGAUAUUUUUAUUAUUUCAAACAACAUAUGGAGUCUUGUCUAUAUAUGUCAGAAGGCUUCAAGGCUAAUUAAAAUGUUAAAUGUUAAGUAUUUGUUUUUAACUCACUAUCAUGACACCUAUUAUCUCAUAUUAAUCCAAAGGUCUGAUUGGCAAUUAUAUGUCUCUAAUAAAAAAUGGAAGGCAUUCAGAGAGUCAGAGGGUCUGAAAUAGCUUCUAACUUGUUAACUGGUCUCUGCUUCUCCUCUUGUCCCAUUCUAAUCCAGUCUCCGUGUGGAGGCAGAAAGAUCUUCAAAAGCUCAAUAGGAUCCAGCUAGUCUCUAGCUUAAACCCCUUCAGUGGCUUCCCAUUGCCCUGAAAGAAAACCAGCUCUUCUCCAGGUUCUGACCCUGCUUUUUUCCCAGUCUUAUCUAGUUUGGCUCUUUAUUGUGCUCCCACACACUGGUCAUGUUGGUCUUUUACUUCCUAGAAAGCAGCUACAUGAGGUUUUCUCCCAAUAGGGCCUUUGCAGCAGGUGUUCCUUCUGACAGUGCUUUGCCCUCAGCCUUCCCUGUGCAUUGCUCCCUCUUAGUCUUCACGUUUCAGCUGAACUGAUGCCUAGGAAAGCAGCUAAAUCGGUUUUAGGUUUCUCACCUCUGCCUUAUUCUCUGUCACAGAACCCUGUUUUAUACUUUCUAUCAAAAAGGGAAUUUUAAUAAAUGUUUACAUAU